CAUACGACCAUAUGGCGCAGAAAGCUCGGGAUCCCGUCCGCUCUCCCCUAGAUAAGCUGCGCACAGCCGGACUAGUACUCAGGUGGGUGACCACUGGGGAAUCCCCGGUGUUGUAUGUUUUGCAUCUUU
rnacentral:rRNA from 2 species